UACGACUACAUAUCAGGCAUAUCAAUAAGCGGAGGAAAAGAAACUAACAAGGAUUCCCUUAGUAACGGCGAGUGAAGCGGGAAGAGCUCAAAUUUGAAAUCUUCAAGGUUUUACCUUGACGAAUUGUAGUUUAAAGAAGUGUUUUCUGUUGAAGUUUCGGUAAAAGUUCUUUGGAAUAGGACAUCAUAGAGGGUGAGAAUCCCGUAUUUGACCGUUAUUUUCAGCUGUGUGAUACACUUUCAACGAGUCGGAUUGUUUGGGAAUGCAGUCCAAAAUGGGUGGUAAAUUUCAUCUAAAGCUAAAUAUUGGCGAGAGACCGAUAGCGAACAAGUACCGUGAGGGAAAGAUGAAAAGAACUUUGAAAAGAGAGUUAAACAGUACGUGAAAUUGUCAAAAGGGAAGCGUUUGACACCAGUGUUGUUUUCUCGAAAAUCAAUUAAAAAUGGCUUGAUUUUGUGUUGUAUUGACCUUAAAAGCUUUCUUCACUUUUUUCGAGUGUCAUUUUUAAUGCACUUUUCGUUUAACAAGUCAACAUCAGUUUCUUUUGUUGUAAAAAGGUCAUUGGAAGGUGGCUUUCUUUUCGGAGAAAGUGUUUAUAGCCUUUGACUCCUGCAAUCGGAGAGACUGAGGUCUGCAGCGUAGAUCCUUUUGGAUUAGAUUCACUUUGUGCUAAGUUAUAGCUUUUCAUAGACAACUUGUUGACUAUGUUUUAGUCAUGUAGCUUACUCGCUUAGUGUAAUUUUACCUACGCUUAGGAUGUUGAACGCGCACAGAGUCU
rnacentral:rRNA from 1 species